UAUACUUGCUGUAGCUCACAGUUACUCUACACUGCAGAUAUGACGCCUCUGUUCAUCUCAGUGCUGCUGGCUGCUAUGUGCCUCGAAUGCAGAGCACAAAAAGACAACGUGCUGCAAUCAAAAGGAGAAGAGACUGCUGCUGCAGGAGGCACAGUAACACUUGGCUGUCUCUAUAACAGCAGUACAACAACUAAUUAUCUCUUCUGGUACAAACAGGAUGGAAACAACAGCCCCAAAUUCAUCCUGAUGCGCUAUAGUGGGGAUGAUGGAAACACAGCAGAGGAGUUCAAGGAGAGAUUUUCAUCCACACUGGAUUCCAGCAGCAGAUCAGUUCCUCUGAAGAUCCAGAAGCUUCAGCUGUCUGACUCUGCUGUGUACUACUGUGCUCUGCAGCCCACAGUGACAGGAAACAGCAAAACUCUGUACAAAAACCUUUGGAGCAAAGACAACAGAAUACUCCACAACAUCCACUAGAGGGAGCCACACACUGUUAAACUUCUCUCCAGUCAGAAUUACAGUCUUUACUUGUUUGAUCACAUUGAUGGAAAGCGUUAAGGCCUAUUAUUUUCUCUCUUCUUUCUACAUUUCUCAUUUCAGUGUCUGAUCGAUGCACUCCUCCACUUUUCAUCAGGACCAAAUUCUGUGGGUCCUUCCAAUAUUUGCCAGUGAAAUAUAGUACAGUGGUCCCUCGGAACAUGGGGAACAGAGCCUUCAGUUGCUCUCUUCCUCAAGCCAUAAGAAAUAAAAACUCUCUUCCUGUGUUUAAGUCACAGCUCAAAACACAUCUGUUCAAACUGGUUUAUUCACUUUAGUGCUGAUUUUCUGUUGUCAAGUUCUGUUUUGCAAUUUUAACUUAUUUUAUGUAUUUUAUGACUAUUGCUCCUUUUAUUAAUUUUGUU